rnacentral:rRNA from 1 species
AUUGAACGCUGGCGGCAUGCUUUACACAUGCAAGUCGAACGCGAAAGCGGGGGCAACCCUGCCGGUAGAGUGGCGAACGGGUGAGUAACACAUCGGAACGUAUCCUCGCGUGGGGGACAACCAGUCGAAAGACGGGCUAAUACCGCAUACGCUGGAGACAGGAAAGCAGGGGACCCGCAAGGGCCUUGUGCGCAUGGAGCGG